CUAUCUUGUGACGUACGAGUGAAAGUUCAAAAAUUGAGAAUUUUGCUUUCAAUGAUUUUAAAUUUGGCAAAAAAAUUAUAAAGAUAAAAUAAAAUCAAUUGUCAACACGCCAAGAUGUGCCGGCCCUACCUACUGCAGCGUACAAACCCUUUGUUUUGUUUUCAAACGAGCAGCCAGCAUGAGUCAUGACUCAGCCUAACAAAGACCGGAAGAGAAAGAUGGAUGCCCUGAUCAGUGGCGACAACUCUAAAGCACACACAAGUCAGGACAGCUGCUGCUCCUCGGCCAAGACACCAUGUAUGGCCCAGGGGUCGGCGUCUGGGGACUCGCAGGGGAACAUGUGUCACGAGUUCGUGACUGUGCUGCGAGACCUGGAGAACGAGGGGUCCCCUGCCGUGAUCCACACCCACGCCUGUGAGCUGGAGGACGUCUGGUCCCACAAGUACCCCCUCCCCCUCAGCAAGUACCCGCCCAAAGCCAUCAAGACAGGAAACAAACACUAUGACGUCAUCAUACCCGAACUACCUCAAAUUGGUUAUAAACCCCUUCAGGUGAUAGCCAAGGGUCGGUCGGGUACUGUGAUACUGGCCCAGGAUCUGAGAGAAGGCAUUGAGGUGAGGGAGAGCGAAUGCCAACCAGUGGCCAUCAAACUCCAGAGUGGCAAGAAAAGGAAACAGCCAACACCAGCCUCGGAGGAGCAGAAAAAAGACAGCCCAUCAGAUGAGAUCCUACUGCACAAACGUCUUCAGCACCAGCACAUUGUGGCUCUGAUCAACACCAUCUUCUAUCAAGGAAGGACCGGCCUUGUGUUGGAGUUCUGUGAGAGCGGAAAUCUGGAGACUUUACUCAGAGUACACGAUGCCAGAUUUGUCAGUGAGUCUAUUGCCAGGAAAUACCUCAGACAGCUGCACAGUGCUGUAGAGUACAUGCAUCUGUCGGGCGUGGCCCACAGGGACCUCUGUCUGCAGAAUAUUCUGGUAACCAAUGACAACAUGGUCAAGAUCGCAGACUUCAGCCAUGCCGUGCUCUACUCACCCGGUGACCCGCUGUGUCGCGAGUUGGCUGGAACUCCGGGAUACCAGGCAGGCCCCUGAGAUGUUGAUGAAACACAUGUAUGACCCCCGCCAGGCCGACAUGUGGUCCCUAGGGGCGGUGCUGUUCACCAUGGUGGUGGGCCGACUGCCCUACGGUCGCGUCAAGACAGAGGAGGAGGCCCGAGCCCUCAAGCCCUUGGUGUUCCCUCCCCCCUCGGUCAUGGUCCUGUCCCCACAGAUAAAAGAGCUUCUUAUCGGAAUGCUGUCCUAUGUCCCAAGUUCCAGAUACACACUCAAUCGUGUUAAAAAUAGUGAGUGGUUCAAUAUGGCCUCGGACAAAGUGCAAAUUGGCAGCUUUUAUUUGGUUCGGCAACCUCAAAAAGUCUGUGAUGGCGAAAGGGAACGAGAGGUGAAAGCAGAGUAUGAAAUAUGAAACUUGAACAAAAUAAAUGCAAGCACUCCAAAAUACAGCAAUCUUUACUCAAGAACAUUGGUCUCACUGCAACUUUAGUUGUUGCUUUCUCAAUUUAAAAAAAAUUGUCGCCAGUAUUGCUAACUUUUUAUCAGGCCACUCUUUGAGUUAGGUCUUGAGUCUCGAUAAAUAAAACUGAAAUUUAAAGAAACUUUUCAACCGUUCAACUGAUUUCAGCAUAGAAUUGAUUUACUUGGUAGUUUUUUGAUCCAAGUAAUCUUAUGUGGCGCUUCUAAAAAAACUUGAUCUCAUUGCAACACAAUUGAAUUGGAAUCCAGGCGUCUAGAUCUUGUAUCAUUUUUUUAAAGAACUAUAAUUGGACCUACAAUAGUGCAAUGUAUGGACCUAGCCCUAGCACAUCUUGAUCAAAUUUCUGCUGUGCACAUUUGUAUAAAUGUUUUGAUUUGAGAUUGGUAGCACACUUUUUUUGAUGACUUUUAACACAGUAUAAUAGCAUUGAUUUUUGUGAGAAAGGUAUGAAUUGUCGAAAUCAUUUAGUGAGAGUUGAACUGGUAGUAUCUAGAUCUAGAUCAAGUUAUACAACACAUUCUCUUGGCAACAUUUAAAGAUGUUUUCUUUUAUCCAUUGGUUUCAUGAAUGAAUGCAAUUGACAGUUGAAAGUGGUAUGACAAGAACUAGAUUUUUAAUGAACAUGUUUGCCUAUAUUUCAAGUCUUUCAAAUAAUACUUUUUUAUUAUCUACCAAAGUUAUAAAAAUCUCAACAAUUAGUUGUUUGAAAUAUAUAUUUUAGAAAAACUUUAUUUUCUUUUUAACAUGUGAAUUUUUCAAGACUCAUUGUAUGCCAUUUGCCAAAAUGUCCACAAACCAGAGUUAUUUUUAUAUUUGAGCUCAUACAGUGUAUCUAGUUUUAAUUUUAAAAGACCUCACACUUGUAGUUUCAAAGACAGCACAUAAAAGUUCCCUCAAAAAUAUUGCAAAGACUUUUUAUAAGAAAGUUUAAAUUCUUUUCAGAGAAUAAUGUGAAACAUUUUAACCAAAUUGUAAACAAGCAGUUUUUGAGUUAAACAUUGUGCUAUAUUUAGAAUUAUAUUGCUAAUACUUCAGAUACUCAAUUUAAAAAUAUUUAACAGAUAGUUUGUGGUGGGAAACACCCAGAGCAUUAAUUACAACCUCAGUGUUUUGAUUUGAAUACAUCUACAUUAAUUUGUUCUUAUCAUUUCAUUUUAAAACCCAAACACAUCUUCUCCUGCUGGUGUACUUUUGUCUGACAUUUAUUCAUUAAUUAUAAUAUUGUAAUUGAAUGAAAAUUCAGCUUCAAUGUAUUUAUUUCUAUUAUUAUUUUAGAUGACCCUAAGCAUAUCUGUCUAGUCCAAAAAUUAAAAGUUGAAAAAGACAAAAAAAAACAACUUAUUUUAUUUUAAGUGAAGAACAUUUUAAACUGCUUACAUUACAAUUCUUUCAGCUAAAGCAGUUUUUAUUCAAAGUACUUUUCUUGUUUUACCAUGUCUCAGUGCCUGAUGGUUUUAUAGUUUUAAUAGUAAAAAGUAUUAAAUCAUGAAAAAAAUAAAAUUUAUGAAAAUUUACUCAUAAAAAUUUCAACCUAAUAACUUUAAGCUAUUUAUUAUUGUUUGUUAUGUGAUUAAAAAGUGCAUUUUCA